rnacentral:rRNA from 1 species
CCUACGGGAGGCAGCAGUGGGGAAUAUUGGACAAUGGGCGAAAGCCUGAUCCAGCAAUGCCGCGUGAGUGAAGAAGGCCUUCGGGUUGUAAAGCUCUUUUACCCGGGAAGAUAAUGACUGUACCGGGAGAAUAAGCUCCGGCUAACUCCGUGCCAGCAGCCGCGGUAAUACGGAGGGAGCUAGCGUUGUUCGGAAUUACUGGGCGUAAAGCGUACGUAGGCGGCUUGGUAAGUCAGAGGUGAAAGCCCACGACUCAAUCGUGGAACUGCCUUUGAGACUGCUUCGCUUGAAGAUGGGAGAGGUUAGUGGAAUUCCGAGUGUAGAGGUGAAAUUCGUAGAUAUUCGGAAGAACACCAGUGGCGAAGGCGGCUAACUGGACCAUUCUUGACGCUGAGGUACGAAAGCGUGGGGAGCAAACAGGAUUAGAUACCCUGGUAGUCCACGCCGUAAACGAUGAUAGCUAGCUGUCGGGGCUCUUGGAGCUUCGGUGGCGCAGCUACGCAUUAAGUUAUCCGUCCGUGGGAGGUACGGCCGCGAAGGUUAAACGUAACGAAAGUAGAAGUUAGACGGUCGUGAGACGUUGUCCGAACGGACGACGACGAGGGAGGAGG